UACGUAGGGUGCAGGCGUUAAUCGGAAUUACUGGGCGUAAAGCGUGCGCAGGCGGUUUGCUAAGACAGGUGUGAAAUCCCCGGGCUUAACCUGGGAACUGCGCUUGUAACUGGCAAGCUUGAGUGUGGCAGAGGGGGGUGGAAUUCCACGUGUAGCAGUGAAAUGCGUAGAUAUCGUAAGGAAGACCAGUGGCGAAGGCGAGUUUCUGGACAGUUACUGACGCUGAGGCACGAAGGCCAGGGGAGCAAACGGG
rnacentral:rRNA from 1 species